ensembl:snoRNA small nucleolar RNA SNORA65
CCCGCCACUAUACCUGUCUGUCCCUGUGACUGAGUAUAAUCCAGUGGAGGCUCAGAGUGACCCGGCUUUAGGAAACAGAGCUGCUCAAACUCAUGGACAUCUCUGUGCCGUAAAGAUCGGAACAACG